UUGCGCGACGCUCAUCCUACUCGUUCACGAUAUUGUGCUUUGUUGUGAAAACGAUCAACUGUCAGAAACGCCAAGAUUUUUGUUUCCUGUCGGCGUACUUUUCGUUUGUAACGGAGUAAACGUCAACUUGUUUAAAAAAGUAUAUACUUAUACAAUAUACGAAAUGCGUUCAUUUUGCGCGAAUGUGACGAAAUUGAAGACGAUGAUCCCCAGCUGAUCGCGAUUGUUCGCCUCCGCUGUGAUUGUGCCGCUUGUGACUUCAACCAAACACAAACUUGCAUGUCUCCUUCGUGAACGAUUAAUAAAUCCUGAGGAAUUAUUUCGAGUGGCAGGGUCGUAAUAUUGCGAAAGGAAAUUGCGCGACAAGUUCACAGAGUGGCGAGAAACGUAGCGAGAAGUUGCUCGACGAUUCUUCGAUAGCUCCGAUUUCUUCAUGACGGUAUUCUUGAGGAAAAAAAUAUCAACGAAAUCCUCAAAUGAUAACCAUACGAUUAUUCUAUAUAAAAUAUGAAGAUGGCUUCCUUGGAAAUUGACGAUUUAUUGACCGGGCCGUUGGUUACUUGGUUUGUUAGCUGCCUGGAAAAUCCCAAUGUUAAUUAUGAAGAUUUAGUGGAUGGUGUUUUGUUGCAUAAUGUCUUCCUGCAAAUCAAUCCAGAACCGUUGCACGAUGAAGUAGUACCUUCUAAUGGCAAUUCUGUUAUUCGUACGAAAAACUUGAAGACUAUAGUACAAAAUAUGAAACAAUUUUACGAAGAGGAAUUGGAUCACUUGAUUUUAAAAUUACCUGAUGUCACAAAUUUAGGAAAAGAACCAGAAUUGUAUAUAGCAGAUAUGAAAUUGUUGUUAUUGCUACUUCUUGGAUGUGCUGUCCAAUGUCCAAAUAAGGAGAAGUUUAUUACUAACAUAAAAACGUUACAUGUUGAUACGCAACUUGCAAUAGUAGAAUGCAUUAAACAGGUGACGGAUCAUCAAGAUAUAGUCAUUACGCAAGAUGCCAUGGAAAAUGCAAACAUGGGUUUUUUAUUUACCCAAAUCAAAAAAUGGAUUCAAGAAUUGGAUUUAUAUCGAGAGAAAUGGAGAGAUGCAGCACUAGAUGAGAGCGUUGAACGAAAUGAUUCCUCCAUCAGUGCAGAAUCUGAGGAAAUGAGUAAGAUACAACAAGCUCAUCCUGUCACUAAAGCAGAAAGAGAAGAUAACCAUCAUUAUGCGGUUGAAUUGGCCGAUUGGAAAUCUAAAGUUCGGAAACAGCGCCAAGAAUUGGAGGAAAAAACGGAAGCUUUACUCGAAUGUAAGGAAGAAUUGGAGCAUAAUAAAGCAUUGCUCGUAAAACUAAGGCAAGAGCAUCAAGAACUGAUGCAUGAAGCUCGUACUGCCAAAUCUUACAGGGAUGAAUUGGAUGCUGUGAUUGAAAGAGCAGAUAGAGCGGAUCGUUUAGAAAUAGAAGUAGCACGGUAUAGAGAAAAACUCACAGAUAUUGAAUUUUAUAAAACUCGGAUAGAAGAAUUACGUGAAGACAAUAGAGUUUUAAUGGAGACUAGAGAAAUGCUAGAGGAACAAUUAAGCUUGUCAAGAAAUAGAGCAGACAAAGUAUUGGAACUCGAAUCUGAAAUUAUCAAAUAUAAGCAGUUACUUAAUGAUAUGGCAUUGGAACGUGCUGCUGACAAAAAAAAAUAUCAAGAACUUGUCGAGGAGAAUACACAAUUACAUCAAUUAACAAAAGCUGCUGCUAGCGAGGCCGCAUUAGCAGGAUCUAGUGAUUCCGAAGAACCAGUGCAUGAUGAUAAUAGACUGUCCGAACAAUUAACGAGUAAUGCUCAGACGCGAGCAUUAAAAUUAGAAUUGGAAAAUCGUCGUUUAAACACUUUGAUCGAUUCAUUGAAAGAAAGUUCCUUUUACGAAAAUUCAUCUCGCAUUUUGGAAUUGGAAAAAGAGAUAAAGAAGCUUUCAUUGAAGAUUGAAUCAUUGAAUGAUAAUAAAGAAAGACUUAUGCAACAAAAUACUGAUUUAGAAUUGGUCUGCAAACAAGCAUUAGAAGAAAAUAAAAAACUUCAAAAUACCCUUAAAAAUCAACGAACUUCUUUUGAGAAACAACAACAAGAAAUCCAAACUCAUCAUGCGAAAAUGAUAGAAUUAGAAAAAAAUUAUGAUAUAGCAGUGAAAGAAAAGCAACGUGUUCAAUUAUUAUUGGAGAGUGUGCAACGACGCGAUGACGAGUUGGAACGCACAUUGGAAAUGACGAAUCAAAAAGUUGAAAAGUUGAAACUUGCUGCAAAUAAUGCCAAUGAUAUUAAAUUCAAAUGCCUUGAUUUUGAAUCGAGAUUAACAACAAUAGAAAAAGAAAAAGAUGCAGCACAACGCGAUCUUUACAAAUGUAGAGAAAUGAUUGAAGAGAAAGAUGUAGCUUUAGAUAAAGCAACAAAUAUGAUAGAAGUCUCGGAAAGAAAGAUCUUGCAACUUGAGCAGGAGUUACAGGAUUAUCUUACACAAAUAUCAAGAUUGCAAGAAAUUGAACGAUCUAGCAAAGAGCUCGAUUCACGAGCUGCAAUUGAUAGAGAAACUUUAGAGAUACUUCAGUCUAAUCUCGUAGCAGAAAAACUUAGCAAUCAACAGUUGUAUACAGUUCUAGAAAAACUUGGCCUUAGUGAUAGUACAUUAUUGUCCCAACCGCUGGAAACUAUAUUGGAAAGGAUUGCCCAAACACCAGAAAUAAUAAGUUACAUUAAAAAAUCGUUCAUAUCGGAGAGCAAUGAGAAAACGACAUCCGAAUCAACAUCCAAUACCGAAAGAGAAAGUGAUUUUAACGAAGCUUUGGAAACUAUGAUGGAACCUUUAAAACAAGAACUGGAACAAUUGCAAACAAAGUUAUCACUGUCUAAAACGGCAAUGGAGCAAUUACAGUCUGAGAACAUGAAACUUGAAGUUCACAUAACAACGUUACAAUCGCAAAUUAAUUCAUUAACCGCGCAACAUACCGCUUUACAACUGGCAAAUUCGCAGCUUGUUGCGGAGAAAGAAGAGCUUUUGAAAGAACGCAGCACGCAACAGCAUAUAUAUUCCGCAUUACUUCAUGAUCAGAACACUUUGCAAUCAUUGCAUGAACAACUAAAUAAUGAAUAUGAGAAUCUACGUCGCGAACGGGAUGCCCUUAAGUCGAAUUUAAGAGACGUAAAAAAUGAAGGUAGAACAUUACGCGAGACUUGCGAGCGAUUAGAAGCGAAAAAUGAAACAUUGCAAUCUGAACGGGAGGCCUUAAUUAAUAACACAAAGAGUUUAAAUAAUCUGCGAGGAGAGCAUUCCAAGUUGAAGGAUGACUUCAGAAAUCUAUACACUGCAAGUGAAAGAUUAAAAGCAGAAUAUAGGAGUUUGCAAGAUGAUUACAGAAAGAAUAAAAUCGAGGUGAAUCGCUUGACUUUAAAGCAAACUGAAAUGCAGGGCGAACUUAGUAUCAAAGAUGAGCAAUGUUCGGAUUUGAAGAUAGAAGUCAAUAAUCUUAAUGAACGAUGUGAUAUGCUGUUAGAAAUGAAUUCCGGAUUAGAUAAUGAUAGACGUUCCUUAAUGGAGCAUAUAAGUUUAUUAUUUGCGCAAUAUCACGAACUUUUAACGCAUUCGCUUCAAGAUAAAGAGCAUUAUCAUAUGGAAGAAAAAUUGUUUGCGGAUAAAGUUAAUCAUUUGUAUAGGCAAAAAGAAAAGUUGGAGGACAAGAUUAUGGAGCACUAUAGAAAAUUGAACAGUUGCACUACCAAAAAAAAAGGUUUUGGAGCCAGUUUAGUUCGUAGAGUCAGGAAAGCUGGAUCGGAGCUUCUUAAUAAGAAUCGACGCUCAUGGACUGAAGAUCCCAAACAAUCAGAUAGUAAAACGUACGAGUCGGAUACAGGCUGGAAUGAUUCUGAUGCGAGUACUGAUGAUUAUCGUUUACCCGGACCGAGUAGAGUUUUCGGAUCAGAUGCGCUUGGACAAGCUGGUACCAGAAGAACGGUAUAUUAUAAUGACGACUCUCCACCAUCAUCCGCUUCUUUACCCACAGAUAAGUUGCUAGGCGAACCCUUCCAGGAGCAAGGAAACGACGCUAUUCAGAUGGAAACGAAUACAAAAUCGGAAACGCAAAUUGAGUCACGGCCCUUUUUGAUUUACAAUAAAGUAUCGGCGGUCAUAAAUGAAUCCAAAAACGUCAAUAGUAAUUCGAUAAAAGACACAGCGCGAGAUGAAGUACUCGCGGAAGCGCCGGUGGAGAAGGAACCAAAGACCGGGAGUCCAAUAUGGUACGAAUAUGGUUGUGUAUAAAUUUUCACACUGCCUUCGAUGCUUCCAUUAAGUUGAAGACGGAAAGAGGAAAAGAACGUAUAAAGUAUUUUCAUAUGUAUAUUCUCGUACUUUACACGGAAUUUGCAAGAAAGCGUACACGCCAAGACUAGUGUAAUAGACAAGAAUUUACUAUACUGAGAAUAAUAGCAUAAGCCUGCAUUUAUUUUUACAAUUACACUGAUUACCUCUAUGUCAUUUGGCUCUUAUUACGAUAAGCGCCGCUAGAUUACAUUUUUACGUUUUGAUAACUUAUAUUUUUAUAAUAAUUGUGUGUGUGUUUUUACACGAGUAUACAUAUAGAUAAUAUACAUACAUUUUUUGUGUCUUAAAAUUUUAUUACGCGAUUUUACAUAAAAUAUAAAUGAAUAUUUAUCGAUCGACAUAUUGAAUAACAUUUAUCUUUUAACGUAUAUUCUUGCCAUUUUCAAGUAUUAUCUUCUAAUGCGUCUUCCUACAGAAAUAAAUAUAAUAUCAGUACGUGAUAUGAUCUGUAGAGUUACAAUUCCGUUAUAUCGCAUGUUAAAUAAAAGAAGCAUUUAUGAUGAUACCAAAGUAUUCUUGCUUCUAUAUCUCACGACGUAAAUUAACGUAAUAGCGAUAAGUGAAAUCGAUUGUGGCACAUGCGAUCGUUGAUGCGUUACCAUCCUAAUUAAAUUAAUAUACGAUUCGAAAUAAUUGGUCAUUUAUAAGAGGCGUUCGGAAUAAUAUUUAAUUAACUACUCAGGACCAAAAGGAGUAAAGAUUUUUUUGUUCUGAUUAGUUAAUAAAACGCCCAUGGAUAGGAUUUCUGAAUACACUCUAACAGUAUUAUAAGAGAGCACGUUAUCAAACAUAGCGUAACGCACAUAAAGAAAAUUAUUGUAAGUACGAUUCUCAAAUAUAUUUUCUAGAGAAAAAAACUACAAUCUUUUUUUUUUUUUAUAAUGAAAAGUUCCUAACUCUUUGAUAAUUAUAAAAUAUAUUUUUUGUUUAAGAGAUAUGAUAAGAUGAUUAUUUCUAGAAAUAUAUU